rnacentral:rRNA from 1 species
UACGUAGGGGGCAAGCGUUGUCCGGAUUUAUUGGGCGUAAAGGGUGUGUAGGUGGCGCGCUAAGUCGGGUGUGAAAUUUCGGAGCUUAACUCCGAAGCUGCAUUCGAUACUGGCGUGCUUGAGGACUGGAGAGGAGACUGGAAUUCAUGGUGUAGCAGUGAAAUGCGUAGAGAUCAUGAGGAAGACCAGUGGCGAAGGCGGGUCUCUGGACAGUUCCUGACACUGAGGCACGAAGGCCCAGGGGAGCAAACGGG